rnacentral:tRNA from 1 species
GAGGGUAAAGCUCAGUGGUAGAGUGCGUGUAUAGCAUGCACGAGGUCCUGGGUUCAACCCCAAGUGCCUCCA